AGUGAACGCUGGCGGUAGGCCUAACACAUGCAAGUCGAACGGCAGCACAGUAAGGGCUUGCUCUUACGGGUGGCGAGUGGCGGACGGGUGAGGAAUACAUCGGAAUCUACUUUUUCGUGGGGGAUAACGUAGGGAAACUUACGCUAAUACCGCAUACGACCUACGGGUGAAAGCAGGGGAUCUUCGGACCUUGCGCGAUUGAAUGAGCCGAUGUCGGAUUAGCUAGUUGGCGGGGUAAAGGCCCACCAAGGCGACGAUCCGUAGCUGGUCUGAGAGGAUGAUCAGCCACACUGGAACUGAGACGCGGUCCAGACUCCUACGGGAGGCAGCAGUGGGGAAUAUUGGACAAUGGGCGCAAGCCUGAUCCAGCCGUACCGCGUGGGUGAAGAAGGCCUUCGGGUUGUAAAGCCCUUUUGUUGGGAAAGAAAAGCAGCAGGUUAAUACCCCGCUGUUCUGACGGUACCCAAAGAAUAAGCACCGGCUAACUUCGUG
rnacentral:rRNA from 1 species